rnacentral:rRNA from 1 species
AGAGUUUGAUCAUGGCUCAGGACGAACGCUGGCGGCGUGCUUAACACAUGCAAGUCGAACGGUGACGAGGAGCUUGCCCCUCCGAUCAGUGGCGAACGGGUGAGUAACACGUGAGUAACCUGCCCCAGACUCUGGGAUAACAGUUGGAAACAGCUGCUAAUACCGGAUACGAGACGGAGAGGCAUCUCUACCGUCUGGAAAGUUUUUCGGUCUGGGAUGGACUCGCGGCCUAUCAGCUUGUUGGUGAGGUAAUGGCUCACCAAGGCGACGACGGGUAGCCGGCCUGAGAGGGCGACCGGCCACACUGGGACUGAGACACGGCCCAGACUCCUACGGGAGGCAGCAGUGGGGAAUAUUGCACAAUGGGCGAAAGCCUGAUGCAGCGACGCCGCGUGAGGGAUGACGGCCUUCGGGUUGUAAACCUCUUUCAGCAGGGAAGAAGCGAAAGUGACGGUACCUGCAGAAGAAGCACCGGCUAACUACGUGCCAGCAGCCGCGGUAAUACGUAGGGUGCGAGCGUUGUCCGGAAUUAUUGGGCGUAAAGAGCUUGUAGGCGGUUUGUCGCGUCUGCAGUGAAAAUCCGGGGCUCAACCCCGGACUUGCUGUGGGUACGGGCAGACUAGAGUGUGGUAGGGGAGACCGGAAUUCCUGGUGUAGCGGUGGAAUGCGCAGAUAUCAGGAGGAACACCGAUGGCGAAGGCAGGUCUCUGGGCCACAACUGACGCUGAGAAGCGAAAGCAUGGGGAGCGAACAGGAUUAGAUACCCCGGUAGU